rnacentral:rRNA from 1 species
ACGAACGCUAGCGGCGUGCUUUAAGCAUGCAAGUAGGACGAGUCAGUAGCAAUACUGAUAAGUUGCGAACGGCUGAGUAAUUCAAUAGGAAUCUUUCCUUUAGUGGGGAAUACCUCAUCGAAAGAUGAGCUAAUACCGCAUAAUGCCUCCGGGUGAAAGCGCAUAACUGCGCGCUGAUUGAGGAGCCUAUUGCCCAUCAGGUAGUUGGUAGGGUAAAAGCCUACCAAGCCUACGACGGGUACCCGAUCUGAGAGGAUGGACGGGCAGAGUGGGACUGAGACACGGCCCACACACCUACGGGUGGCAGCAACUGGGAAUCGUACACAAUGGACGAAAGUCUGAUGUCGCGACGCCGCGUGAAGGAUGAAGGCGUAUUCGUUGUAAACUUCUUUUGCCAAUGUAGAGAUGCAUUGGAGAAUAAGCACCUGCUAAUCUCGU